CCCCGCCCCCCGCGUGCCCCCUGCUCUUCCUCGGCCUCCUCUGCCUCCUGCUGGCCCUGCUGCUGCUGGCCGCCAUCGCCGCGGCCGUGCAUUACGUCAAGGUUUUCAUCAUCAGCUCGGCCGCGCUGGCGGUGCCGCCCCCCGAGGCCUUCCCGUGACCCAAAACCCCCCAAAUUCCACCCAAAAAUUCAAUAAAUCCCAUUUAAUAAUCCCAAAA